rnacentral:rRNA from 1 species
GAUGAACGCUGGCGGCGUGCCUAAUACAUGCAAGUCGAGCGAACAGACGAGGAGCUUGCUCCUCUGACGUUAGCGGCGGACGGGUGAGUAACACGUGGAUAACCUACCUAUAAGACUGGGAUAACUUCGGGAAACCGGAGCUAAUACCGGAUAAUAUAUUGAACCGCAUGGUUCAAUAGUUGAAGAAGGUUUUGCUGUCACUUAUAGAUGGAUCCGCGCCUCAUUAGCUAGUUGGUAACGUAACUGCUUACCAAGGCAACGAUGCGUAGCCGACCUGAGCGGGUGAUCGCACACACGGGAACUGAGACACGGCCCAGACUCCUACGGGAGGAAGCAGUAGGGACUCUUACGCGAGGGGGGAAAGCUGAACGGAGCAACGCGGCGUGAGUGAUGAAGGUCUUCGGAUCGUAAAACUCUGUAAUUAGGGAAGAACAAAUGUGUAAGUAACUAUGCACGUCUUGACGGUACCUAAUCAGAAAGCCACGGCUAACUACGUG